rnacentral:rRNA from 1 species
CUAAAUACUACCCAGUGACCGAUAGCGUAUAGUACUGUGAAGGAAAGGUGAAAAGCACCCCGGGAGGGGAGUGAAAAAGAACCUGAAACCCUGUGCCUACAAGCACCUAGAGCACGUCAAAGUGUGAUAGGGUACUUUUUGUAGAACGGUCCGGCGAGCGAUUGUAUGCAGCAAGGUUAAGGACUUAAGGUCUGGAGCCGAAGCGAAAGCGAGUUUGAAAAGGGCGUUAAGUUGCAUAUAAUGGGCCCGAAACCGGGUGACCUACCCAUGGUCAGGUUGAAGUGGAAGUAAAAUUCCAUGGAGGACCGAACCGACCUCCGUUGAAAAGGCGGCGGAUGAACUGUGGGUAGCGGAGAAAUUCCAAUCGAACCCGGAGAUAGCUGGUUCUCCCCGAAAUAGUUUUAGGACUAGCCUCAAGUUAGAUACCUGGAGGUAAAGCACUGAAUAGCCUAGCGGCCGAGAGGUUAGCGAAGCUUAUCAAACUCAGAAUGCCAGAGUAUUGAUGCUUGGGAGUCAGACAGUGUCAGAUAAAUGUCAUUGUCAAAAGGGAAACAGCCCAGAUCUACAGCUAAGGUCCCAAAGUCAGGUUAAGUGGAAAACGAUGUGAAGAUACGCAGACAACCAGGAUGUUGGCUCAGAAGCAGCCACUCAUUCAAAGAGUGCGUAAUAGCUCACUGGUCGAGCGUCUUUGCGCGGAGAAUUUAACGGGGCUAAACCUGGCACCGAAGCUUAGGCAAUGUAGCAAUGGAUUGGGUAGGGGAGCGUUGUAUACGCGGAGAAACAGUAGCGCAAGCGGCUGUGGAGUGUAUAGAAGUGAGAAUGCCGGAAUGAGUAGCGCGAAUGCAGUGAGAAUCUGCAUGGCCGAAAGCCUCAGGUUUUUGGAGGAAGGUUCGUCCGCUCCAAGUUAGGCGGGAGCUAAGGUGAGGCCGAAAGGCGUAGCCGAUGCACAGACGGUAGAGAUUCCGUCACCACCAAAAGAGUUAAGCACAGGGACACAUUUGAAGUCUCAGAGCCGGGUGUUGGUUCCGGUAGAGAUCGAGGGAAGUUAGUACCGAAGUCUGAGAUGGAAGAUGGCGAGAAAAGCUGUGUGUAUUUCUGAGGUGCCCGUACCGCAAACCGACACAGGUAGGUAGGAAGAAGAUUCUAAGGCCAACGGGAGAAGGGUUGUUAAGGAACUCGGCAAAUUGACCCCGUAACUUCGGGAGAAGGGGUGCUCCAGAGAUGGAGCCGCAGAGAAUCGGCCCAAGCAACUGUUUACCAAAAACACAGGUUUGUGCUAAAUCGAAAGAUGACGUAUACGAGCUGACGCCUGCCCGGUGCUGGAAGGUUAAAAGGAGAUGUGCAAGCAUUGAAUUGAAGCCCCAGUGAACGGCGGCCGUAACUAUAACGGUCCUAAGGUAGCGAAAUUCCUUGUCAGGUAAGUUCUGACCCGCAUGAAAGGCGUAAUGAUCUGGGCACUGUCUCAACAGCCCGCCCGGCGAAAUUGUAGUACCGGUGAAGAUGCCGGUUACCCGCGACAAGACGGAAAGACCCCAUGGAGCUUUACUGUAGCCUAAUAUUGGGUUUCGAUGUUGCAUGCACAGGAUAGAUGGGACACUGGGAAACAAUCGCUUUGGCGGUUGCGGAGUGGCCGUUGGGAUACCAUCCUUGCGAUAUUGGAAUUCUAACCUGCGGCUCUGAAUCGAGUCGGGGGACAUUGUUAGGUGGGCAGUUUGACUGGGGCGGUCGCCUCCUAAAAAGUAACGGAGGCGUUCAAAGGUUC